GACGAACGCUGGCGGCGUGCUUAACACAUGCAAGUCGAACGGAAAGGCCCUGCUUGCAGGGUGCUCGAGUGGCGAACGGGUGAGUAACACGUGGGUGAUCUGCCCCUUACUUUGGGAUAAGCCUGGGAAACUGGGUCUAAUACUGGAUAGGGCCAUGCUGUAGGUGGUGUGGUGGAAAGAUUAGUUUCGGUAAGGGAUGAGCUCGCGGCCUAUCAGCUUGUUGGUGGGGUAAUGGCCUACCAAGGCGUCGACGGGUAGCCGGCCUGAGAGGGUGGACGGCCACAUUGGGACUGAGAUACGGCCCAGACUCCUACGGGGGGCAGCAGUGGGGAAUAUUGCACAAUGGGCGCAAGCCUGAUGCAGCGACGCCGCGUGGGGGAUGACGGCCUUCGGGUUGUAAACUCCUUUCAGCCAUGACGAAGCCCUUGUGGUGACGGUAGUGGUAGAAGAAGCACCGGCUAACUACGU
rnacentral:rRNA from 1 species